GGAGUUGGUUCUACCCGACGGCCGUGCGCUAACCUUUUGGAGGCAGCGGACCACGGUAGGAUCAGCGACUGGGGUGAAGUCGUAACAAGGUAGCCGUAGGGGAACCUGCGGCUGGAUCACCUCCUUUCUAAGGAUUACCCUAGCUGGCAAAUUCGUUUGUCACGUGGGUUACUUAGCAGAAGCAGCAAACAAAGCUGCACAUUUGAGCCAGACUGUCCUCUUAUCUCUUCAGCAUUACAUCAGACCUGCCGGUCUGGACUGGGUCGGUAGCUCAGGUGGUUAGAGCGCACGCCUGAUAAGCGUGAGGUCGGAGGUUCAAGUCCUCCUCGACCCACCAAAUAAUCAUAAAGUCGGGUAAUAACGUAAUUAUGCGAUCUUUAUAUGGGGCCUUAGCUCAGCUGGGAGAGCGCCUGAUUUGCAUUCAGGAGGUCAGGAGUUCGAUCCUCCUAGGCUCCACCAUUACCAAUUUGAGUGCUAAGCAGUAUUACUGUUUAGCCGUCCAAUUGGGCGAUUUUGACAUCGUGAAGAGAGAUACAAAUAUAACUUCUUUUGAGGUUGACGUGUGAGUUAACCUCUCAUUUAGUGAAGCACAAUUGUGUGGACAGUCAGUGUACAAUGGUCUUUUCCUCGACCGUGCGCCGAUAUGCUUUGUGAAACAAAAGGAGUUAUCCAAGUCAAAUACACUAACCAAGCAUUUUUCAGAUUAAUCUGAAUAAAAAUGCGGGAAAGUAUAAAAUUAUGACUUUUGACCAGAAAAGUGGAGCCACCGAACCAGCGGUUCCUUGCAGCUAGUCUGACUUUUUCUGGAUCAAAUCAAGCGCGAGAAGGGCGUUUGGUGAAUGCCUUGGCAGUAAGAGGCGAUGAAGGACGUGAUACUCUGCGAUAAGCGUAGGUGAGCCGAGAAUAGGCUUUGAUCCUGCGAUUU
rnacentral:misc_RNA from 1 species